GAUGAACGCUGGCGGCGUGCCUAAUACAUGCCAGUCGAGCGAACAGACGAGGAGCUUGCUCCUCUGACGUUAGCGGCGGACGGGUGAGUAACACGUGGAUAACCUACCUAUAAGACUGGGAUAACUUCGGGAAACCGGAGCUAAUACCGGAUAAUAUAUUGAACCGCAUGGUUCAAUAGUGAAAGACGGUUUUGCUGUCACUUAUAGAUGGAUCCGCGCCGCAUUAGCUAGUUGGUAAGGUAACGGCUUACCAAGGCAACGAUGCGUAGCCGACCUGAGAGGGUGAUCGGCCACACUGGAACGGAGACACGGUCCAGACUCCUACGGGAGGCAGCAGUAGGGAAUCUUCCGCAAUGGGCGAAAGCUUGACGGAGCAACGCCGCGUGAGUGAUGAAGGUCUUCGGAUCGUAAAACUCUGUUAUUAGGGAAGAACAAAUGUGUAAGUAACUAUGCACGUCUUGACGGUACCUAAUCAGAAAGCCACGGCUAACUACGUG
rnacentral:rRNA from 1 species